AACUCAGCAUUUAAAAACAACCAUACAACUACAAAUCACUAAUUCUUAUUCAGUGAGAUGAAACUGGGCUCUGAAAUUUAAGCCAGUUUCUCAAGAGUUGACCACCUAAGGCAGAAGGCUGCGAAGUUUGCAGGAGAAAAUUAGAAAGUGGGUUUCCCCGGAGCGUUGUGGAGUCAUCAGGCCAAGUGCCACCUACUGUCCAUUUGAAGUCAUCAGGAGGCUUUUGACGAUGACCAAAGCGAAAUAAAGAAAGGGGGAAAAGGAAAGGAGAAAAUUAACCCCCAGCCUUGGGUCCUUGGAAGAAAGAUGCAAAUAGGCCAUCACGAAGCAAAAAUAAGACCACACAGACAGGCUGAGGACAACUUUAUGACCAAGAGCCGAACAAGGUACGUUACACUGGCGCGAUUCGGUGAACAGUGAGGGUCCUCGAAUAGGCCAGGGAGGGGGAAGUCAUUACCCCACGUUAAGAAUUAAACCCAAUUUUAAGUCCGUGUUCGACAGAAAAGUUUGAGGUCUGAACAUUUCCAGCAGGCUGCAAAUCAGGGGAUAUUUCAGAUCCCUGGCAAGCUUAGUAACCUAUCCCGGGGCUUGUCCCAUUUCUGCGGCGCUCGCCAGAAAUCUGCUGCCUUUAUGGGAACACAGGUAACCUCUUUGCCUGG
rnacentral:lncRNA from 1 species